rnacentral:rRNA from 1 species
GACGAACGCUGGCGGCGUGCCUAAUACAUGCAAGUCGAACGCAGUGGGGACGGGUGAGUAACACGUGGGUAACCUCCCAUCAGAGGGGAUAACCCUUGGAAACAGGUGCUAAACCGAUAUUGAUGUAUGGACCCGCGGUGCAUUAGCUAGUUGGUGAGGUAACGGCUCACCAAGGCCACGAUGCAUAGCCGGCCUGAUAGGGUGAGCGGCCACACUGGGACUGAGACACGGCCCAGACUCCUACGGGAGGCAGCAGUAGGGAAGCUGGGGCAAUGGACGAAAGCCUGACCGAGCCAUGCCGCGUGAGUGAAGAAGGUUUUCGGAUCGUAAAAUGCUUUUGGUAGAGAAGCGGUAUCUAAACAGAAAGCCACGGCUAACUACGUGCCAGCAGCCGCGGUAAUAC